GUCUCCAUCUUGGUAUAGCACCCAAAAAUUGUGCACACCCACACUACACGGGCAUGUGCUAGUCAAUGACAAAUCAGAAAUAACUAACUGUCCACCUGGGCUGUCCUAAGCCAAGCUAGAACCAACCAUUGGCACUUGUGAGACACAGGAAGUGAGGUAGGGAACAGCCUCUGGAAUUCGCUCACUUCCUGUGGAGAGAGCUAGACGCCAGUUGGUGUUAGGAGCUUGGACAGGGAGGAUGCCCGCAGACAGCUUUCCUUCAGAUCACUCACGUGAGUUAAGGACUGAUUCUUUCCACCUUGGCCCUUUGGGCCUAAAACUCCCUCUGCCUUGGUCAGAGGUUGAGUAGCCCCUUUCCCUUUUCUCUUCUCUCCUUCUCUCCCUCUCCUUUCCCUACUCCCAGUGUGAUUAAACCUCCAUAAACUCCAUUCUGACUUGAGUGUUUCAUUUUAGGAAUUUCAUAAGUAAAUUCCUUGGCGGCCAUUGUUCAAUAUUACAUUAAUUUUAAAAAGGUGAAAUUUCCACCAUUACACACCUUGGCAGGAAGUGAAGUCUCCAAGCUCCCUGAGAGAUAGGCACCAAAGUUUCCCUCCAGGGCUUUGUUUUUAUAUUUUCCUGACAUUCUUUGGAACUUAAUCACCUAGUGUUCCUGACAUUCUUUGGAACUUAAUCACUUAGUGUUCCAUGCAUGAGUUCCCCUGGAUUGAAACCAAAGCCUCUGCUUUUUGCACACCUUUUCUCUUGCUUUUUCUCAUUCCCACACUUCAAAUUCAGAGUUAAUGUGAUUCUCAUGUCACCUGUAACUUGUACAAGCCAAUGAUAUGAACAGAAUCCUGCAUUAGGAAGAUUUUGAAAGCUAUGUGAAGAUUAUACUGGGAAAGACUGGCAACAGGGAGACCAGCAUGAAGAAGAACAAAGAUGUGGCUGAUCUGGGCAUGCUCCUUAAAAUGGAGGUUCUAGGAAGAACUAACCAAUCAGAGGAAGAGGCCAUAGGGGCUGAGGGUACUUCCAGUCUAAGACUUCUAGAGCUUCCUUCUGAGACAGAAGCAGAAGCAACACUGCUGAGACUGCCUAAAACAUAGGAAAAUAUGAAAAGGAGAACGUCUCCAAACAUCUCCAGUAAGAGAGGACAGCAGCACUGUCAAGUUGUGUGGUAUGAUCAGGAUGUUUUUUACAAAGCUUAACAUUCUCAAGUCAAAGAUUAACAUUUCACAAAAUGUGAAAUUAAAAAUUCCAUUCAUAAAAUAUGGAACAUGUGGAAAGGCAAAGAUGAAGAAUGCUCAUCAUUUUUUGACAGGGCCAACAAUCUUUACAAAUUAUCAUCCCUUCUUCCUUGUGAAAAAUUACUUACCAGUUCUGCUUCAAUCCCAAAUAGGCAACAUUGACACCUCCCUUGAUAUCUUCAUAAUUACUUUCUGACCCCUAUAGUGAGACAUGAAUUACAAUACUAAAUAAACAUAACUAAUUUUUUUUAAUGAACACGUUAAUGAGAAUUCCUAGAACUUUGAAAGCUGAACAUUAUUCUUUCAUCUUGCAAUGGCACCCUAUAUGUACUACUGUAGAGAAGUAUUACAUAGUGAAGUGCUAUAUAAAAGUGCUACAUUCUCUUUAAAUAUAAAAAGAAUCAAAAUUAAUUCUGUUUUGAGAAUUUCCAGAUGCUCUUAUUUUAUUUUUUUUUUAAAUCCUUACCUUCUGCCUUGGAACCAAUACAGGUUCCAAGGCAGAAGAGUAGUAAGGGCUAAGCCAGUGAUGGGCAACUUUUUGACCUUGGUGUAUCAAAAUUCACCAAAAAACUCAGCAUAACUCAGGUGGUAUGUCAUUUCAAGAAAAAAAA